CGGCGCCUGCCGCCAUCUUGGGUGCGGCGCGGCGGCCCUGCCCUCCUUCAGCCUCGGGAGAGCCUGGUCCUCCAAUAUUUCCCUCGAAGCUUUUCUUUUUCUCCUCACAGUUCUACAAGCUCGACCUGCCGGAUGAGGAGGAAAAAAAUGCCUGAACACAGAAAGACAAGCACAAGACCAGUGGGAAAGAGUGAUUCCCUUGCAGUGAGUGGAAAGCUCUGAUGGGCAAACGUCCUCCGCGAGACUAGAGGGAGAUUCUUGUGGAAAACGCAAUCAAUCACCUUGUGAAAUUCUCAGCGAUCAGAAAUAAAGAAACCGUUUACCUGCAAACAGCUCUCAGCCAAACUGAGAGGACGGGAGGAGUUGAACACUCUCCAGCUGGACGAGCCUCCCCAAAGGGCAAAGCAACGCAGGGAACAGCAGCAAGUGCUGCCCCAGCACUGGAGGUGGUGGAUGGAGACACGCAGUAAGUUAAAAGUUAAGAGCCACAUUCUCAUCUUUCACUAACUCGGUUAUUGCAGCUUUAAGAGAGAGGUUUGGAAAGUUUUCCACUCCACACUGUUCUUGCACACGCCUUCUAAAAUUAGAAAUGGGCAGCUGGCUCCUGCAGCCAAGAGCCCCCAGACUCCCUCCCCCCUUUCCCUGAUUGACUCCCAAGGGCCAUGGAGGAAUUUGGGGAAGGGUGCUUCCACCUGUUGGACAUGGAAUGAGAUUUUCCAGGCAUACAAUUAUAAAUCCAACUGUCAGGAGCUGACAAUAAAACAGGACACAGGACAGCUGUGAGGACUACAGGACACCCGCCUCCCUUCUCUCUACUCCUACCACUGGCAGUCCAUCUGCCAGCAGAAACAAUGCAUGAAAAAUUUGUUCUCUUAUAAAAUAAAAGCAUCGCUUCAGAUUUCUUCCCCCAGUUUUCCAACUGUACCACAAGGUCCUAACACAGAAUCUGGCAAGUUGUUCAUGUUUCAUUACACCCCUCCAAAACCAGAUUAUUUUUCCUAAAUACAGCAUGCUGGCAAUUGCACUGCAGAUGGUACAUAUAGCUGUGUCCUGUACAGCAAAUAAUUUUAUUUGCUGCCUUAACAUGGAGCUCUUACCUUACCUUUUGCACUCAGUUUGAGCUGGACUUUUCGUUCCAAACAAUUUUCAAAAACAAGGAUACAAAAGCCACAAGUUUGUGGGUUUUUGUAAUUUAAUUUGCAGAAGGUAUGAUUUUGUUGAUGUGAAAAAAUGGGGGAAAAAAAAUUAAUUCCUAUUUCCAAACCUGCUUAGCAUGUUCCAAACUCAGCACAGCAUGACUCAGAGCAGGGUGUGAGAGACAAGGUAACAACAGCUGGGCAGUGCUUUGUUCUGGGUCCCUUUCACAACAUCCACUGCUGAAGGCAGUAAGGUGAUUUCCACCCUGCAGGUGCCCACAGGUGACAGCAGCAGAGGGGCCACACUCCCCCUUCCACCUGCAAAGGGCUCUCACCAGCUGCAGCUCCUUCUGCUCACAACCCAAGGAGCACUUUGACCAUUUCCACUCCUAUUUGCAGAGUGCUGGAAAUCUUACUGGAGUUUGGUGUGUAGCUGGUUCAGCCCCCCUCCAAAAUAUCAUGUUCUACUCAAAAGGGUUUUUUUGCUAAAGGCCACAGAAGAAGAAAAAUACCCUUCUUGGUCUCAAGGCCAGAUCUGGUGUCUUUGCUCUGUAAAACCACAUUUCUUCUGUCACAAACUAAUUUCCUGAUCUGCUGACAGUCAUGGACACUUCAGCUUCACAAGUGAGAUUUCUCAAGAAGGAGCCAAACUAUUUUACAGUUUGGAAAACAUCAAAUGACACCGUUUGCCCCAGGCAACGAAAUAAUUAUACAAGGAUAGCAAUCAGCUGCCUGUGAGGAACACAGACAGACAUUACUCUUCACCUCUGGCUGAGUAGGAGUUGCUUAAUGAGAUCUGCAUUAAGUACCUGUGGAUAUUUAAUGAGAACCUUUUAAGGACAAAGCCACAAACAGCUACAAAAGGACCUGUCAAGAGCAGGAAGAGUCUUCUAAUCUUCAGCCUUUCCCCCUCCCAUGGAAGGGGCAACUGACUAUAUUAUCUUGUUUUUCACUUUUUUCAGACUAAGCAGCACAAUACAUUUGGAAAGACACCCUUGUAGGCUUUCCCUACAGUUCAUAACAGCAAAAAAAAAAAGUGAUUUUCCUUUGGCUAGCACAACAUUAAGUCUUUAGUUUCCAGACAUCCUAUUUUUCCUCUUGAACCAGGAAUAUACCUUUAAUACCUAUAAGGAAGAAAAGUUUUAAAAACAGAAAAUAGCCUGCAUAAACUAUGUUUUAUUUGCAUGUGUGUGAAUCUCCUGUCUUCAUAUCACAUCUCUUUUUUUUUUUUUUUGUGGUAGCCAGUUCUGAUAUUUUUUUUUUUAAAGUUACUUUUCAGUAAGAUUGUCCUCUCCAGUCAGUUCACAGUGCACUAGUUUGCAACACCAAAGGUACAGAACAUGCAGCUAGGAGUGGAACAAGAAUGAAGUCAUCCCUUUUUGUCAGCUGCUGACUCUUGUAUAGGCUAAUGAAACAAGUGAACCAUAUCUUAUCAUUA